GCGCCCGUGGCUCAACGGAUAGAGCAUCAGAUUCCGGUUCUGGGGGUUGUGGGUUCGAGUCCCGCCGGGCGUGCCA
rnacentral:tRNA from 1 species